rnacentral:rRNA from 1 species
UAGGGAAUCUUCGGCAAUGGACGAAAGUCUGACCGAGCAACGCCGCGUGAGUGAAGAAGGUUUUCGGAUCGUAAAACUCUGUUGUUAGAGAAGAACAAGGACGUUAGUAACUGAACGUCCCCUGACGGUAUCUAACCAGAAAGCCACGGCUAACUACGUGCCAGCAGCCGCGGUAAUACGUAGGUGGCAAGCGUUGUCCGGAUUUAUUGGGCGUAAAGCGAGCGCAGGCGGUUUCUUAAGUCUGAUGUGAAAGCCCCCGGCUCAACCGGGGAGGGUCAUUGGAAACUGGGAGGCUUGAGUGCAGAAGAGGAGAGUGGAAUUCCAUGUGUAGCGGUGAAAUGCGUAGAUAUAUGGAGGAACACCAGUGGCGAAGGCGGCUCUCUGGUCUGUAACUGACGCUCAGGUGCGAAAGCGUGGGGAGCAAACAGG